UACGUAGGGUGCGAGCGUUGUCCGGAAUUACUGGGCGUAAAGAGCUCGUAGGUGGUUUGUCGCGUUGUUCGUGAAAUCUCACGGCUUAACUGUGAGCGUGCGGGCGAUACGGGCAGACUAGAGUACUGCAGGGGAGACUGGAAUUCCUGGUGUAGCGGUGGAAUGCGCAGAUAUCAGGAGGAACACCGGUGGCGAAGGCGGGUCUCUGGGCAGUAACUGACGCUGAGGCGCGACAGCGUGGGGGGCAAACAGG
rnacentral:rRNA from 1 species